GGAUUGUAGCUCAGGGGUAGAGCACUUGCCUAGCAUGCAUGAGGCACUGGGUUCAAUUCUCAGCACCA
rnacentral:tRNA from 1 species